rnacentral:snoRNA from 1 species
AACCACAUAGAUUUCUUGCCCACGCGCUCUAAACGUUGGUCAGAGUGGCUGUAAAAGGAGGCAAAGUAAAACGGAAAUGCACUCGGAUUCUCUUGUGACCUACAAGUUAGUUUCAAACAAUA